GGCGCUUACGUUCUUCCUGCAACAUGAGAAGGGAGGGAGGGACUCUCAGCAGGGAUGCAGUCUGGGACACGUAGUUGCAAACCUAGCGACUUUGUUGUUAGAUUCAAUGACUUUUCAGACCCCCUAACGACUUUUUUUUAGAAAGAAAGGGACUUUUAUCGACUUCUUCUGGAGUUUAGAGACUCUGACAUGAAGCAGGCUUUCCUUACUGAGGAGUUAGCAACGCUGCUAAGGGUGCAGAGCCACACAUGCGCUCAGAGCUCUGCAUGGGAGACUGAAGCUGACAGAGCUGCAGCAGUUAGCAGGUUUCACCCUCAGAGACCACCAGGGGUUCAUGUUGAGGCAUUUUAAUUUUUUUUUUUUUUUUGUGCCAUAGACACUGUCAGCACAAUCUGCAGCUACACUAACAAAAAUGCUGCAAAAAACAAAGAAUUAUGGAAAAAUUACACAUGGACUGACAUAGAGGAGGAUCUACACAAGUUUUUUACAUCAUGUUUUACAUCAUGCAUCAUUUACAUCAUGUUUUUUUGUAGUGGCAUAAAUAAAAAGUGACAUUUGUGAGACUAUACAGUGUUUUGUAAAUAAUUUUACAAAGAACGCCUGGGCCAUUGCCUGCAUUUUGAUGUAAAUAGAGGUAAAUUACUAUGUUCUUUGUUAAAAAUUUGCAUAUGUUUUGAAGUUUACAAUUUUUAUUUGAAGUUUAAGUUUUAAAAACAGUUCAUCACACAUAUUUGUGGUUUAAUUUCACAUUAAUUUCCAUAUUGUAUAAAUGACUGGAAAAAACUUGAGCCCCUGCCCCUGUAUAAUCAUGUGCACGUCCCUGUUCUAGCUCCAAGGUGAAUCUUCACUGCUCAUGUUCUCCUCAGAAAUAGUCACCUCACUCCCCUCAGGUUACUGUACACAUGCACCAACUAUCUGCUUCAGGUUUGAAAUGGAGCUUCAUGGUUGUCUUUUGGAGAAAUGAACAGUCAAGUUGUGUUUGAAAUUUGAUUUUUUUCAGGGGCAAAAGGAAGCCUCUGCAUUCUUGUCAAAUAUGUAAACAGCAUGUUUUUGCAGGUGCUAAAAAACAGACUCUGAGUGUGUGUGUGUGUCUGUGUGUGUGUGUGUGUGUGUGUAUGUUGGCGUGUGUGUAUAUGUGUGUGUAUCCUGCAGUACUCUGUACUCCUGCAGUGGCCAAAAAGACUUUUAAGAAUGUGGAUUUUUGGGUCAUCUUUGGCGCCCCCUAGAACUGCAGUACUCUGUACUCCUGCAGUGGCCAAAAUGACUUUUAAGAAUGUGGAUUUUUGGGUCAUCUUUGGCGCCCCCUAGAACGUAAACCGUGGGGUGCAGCGUCAUGAUUUUUAUAACUUUGAAUGGGCAUGGGGUGUAGAUUGCCCUGAGCAAAUUUGGUAUCGGUGGGACGAAAGCCUUAGGAGGAGAUAGCCACAUUCCAAUGUGUGCGAAUCGGCAAAAAAUGCAAAAUAGCCCUUUAACCGUACAUUAUAAAGAUACGCGCUCUUUGACUUUUUCGUAGAUCUAAUUGAGAUACACGAUUGUCAAUUUUUGUGUCAAUAUGACAAAGCGUUCAGGCGUGACACUCAACAAUGUGUAUUUUCAUGUAAGGGGACAAGAAAAAAUUGACUUUUUUCUCCUACCAUGGGGGGGCGCUCUUUUGGGGAGUAAAAAUUCCUUCACAAAUGUGUUGAUGGCUGGACAUUGCAUCAUCCUAGAAAACUUGGAGGCCAGUGAGGACAAAAAUAAAAAGUUAUAAAACAUUUAAGAAUGUGGAUUUUUGGGUUAUUUUUGGGUUAUUUUUGGCGCCCCCUAGAACCUAAACCAUGGGGUGCAGCAUCAUGAUUUGAAUAACUUUUAAUGGCCGUGGGGUGUAGAUUGGCCUGAGCAAAUGUGGUGCCGGUGGAACGAAAGCCUUCGGAGGAGUUAGCGAAAUUCCAAUGUGUGCGUAUCGGCAAAAAAUGCGGAAUAACCCUUUAACUGUACAUUUGACAGAUACGCGCGCAUGGACUUUUUUGUAGAUCUUAUUGAGAUACAUGUGUGUGUCAAUUUUUGUGUAAUUUUGACAAAGCGUAAAGGCGUGACAGUCAAUAGUGUGAAUUUUCACCUUAUGGGACAAGAAAAAAUGGACUUUUUUCUCCUGCCAUGGGGGGGCGCUCUUUUGGGGAGUAAAAAUUCCUUCACAAAUGUGUUGAUGGCUGGACAUUGCAUCAUCCUAGAAAACUUGGAGGCCAGUGAGGGCAAAAAUAAAAAGUUAUAAGACUUUGAAAUAUGUGGAUUUUAGGGUUAUCUUUGGCGCCCCCUAGAACCUAAACCGUGGGGUGCAGCGUCAUGAUUUGAAUAACUUUUAAUGGCCAUGGGGUGUAGAUUGGCCUGAGCAAAUGUGGUGCCGGUGGAACGAAAGCCUUCGGAGGAGUUAGCGAAAUUCCAAUGUGUGCGGAUCGGCAAAAAAUGCGCAAUAACCCUUUAACCGUACAUUUGACAGAUACGCCCGCACUGACUUUUUUGUAGAUCUUAUUGAGAUACAUGUGUGUGUCAAUUUUUGUGUCAUUUUGACAAAGCGUACAGGCGUCAGGUGAAUUUUUCACCUUAGGGGGCGCUAUGGAGCCAUUUUGCAUUGUAUUGUUUGGGCGACUUCAGAAUAUCAAAUUUUUCACCAGGCCCGGUCGUCCUGCCAAAUUUCAUGAGUUUUCGCCAGUGGGAAGUGGGCCAUUUUCCAGUUCAAAGGGGAGGAAAAAGAAAAAAGAAACAAAGACUAGGACCCCGUUGGGGCACUGGCGGGCCCGAGCCGUGUCGCGUCCCCCCACCCCCCCCACCCCCCCCAACGUGCUGCCUCCCCGUCCCAUUUGUGUCCUCUGGCCAUCGCCCUCUCUGGUAACGCCCAUCACUGCAAAGACCCUUUUCCUUCAUCGGCGUUUGCUGUUCUUCCUGCCAGUGCGUGUUGCUUUCACUUACACUUGCCACAGCCAGCCUCGUGAGUGCCUAGCCUAUUGGAUAUCACUGUCACCUACACAGGACAGUCAUUACCUUUCUAUUAAUACUUUGUGUUUUAAUUUCACAUUAAUUUCCAUAUUGUAUAAACGACUGGAAAAAACUUGAGCCCCUGCCCCUGUAUAAUCAUGUGCACGUCCCUGUUCUAGCUCCAAGGUGAAUCUUCACUGCUCAUGUUCUCCUCAGAAAUAGUCACCUCACUCCCCUCAGGUUACUGUACACAUGCACCAACUAUCUGCUUCAGGUUUGAAAUGGAGCUUCAUGGUUGUCUUUUGGAGAAAUGAACAGUCAAGUUGUGUUUGAAAUUUGAUUUUUUUCAGGGGCAAAAGGAAGCCUCUGCAUUCUUGUCAAAUAUGUAAACAGCAUGUUUUUGCAGGUGCUAAAAAACAGACUCUGAGUGUGUGUGUGUGUGUGUGUCUGUGUGUGUGUGUGUGUGUGUGUGUGUGUGUGUGUGUAUGUUGGCGUGUGUGUAUAUGUGUGUGUAUCCUGCAGUACUCUGUACUCCUGCAGUGGCCAAAAAGACUUUUAAGAAUGUGGAUUUUUGGGUCAUCUUUGGCGCCCCCUAGAACUGCAGUACUCUGUACUCCUGCAGUGGCCAAAAUGACUUUUAAGAAUGUGGAUUUUUGGGUCAUCUUUGGCGCCCCCUAGAACGUAAACCGUGGGGUGCAGCGUCAUGAUUUUUACAACUUUGAAUGGGCAUGGGGUGUAGAUUGCCCUGAGCAAAUUUGGUAUCGGUGGGACGAAAGCCUUAGGAGGAGAUAGCCACAUUCCAAUGUGUGCGAAUCGGCAAAAAAUGCAAAAUAGCCCUUUAACCGUACAUUAUAAAGAUACGCGCUCUUUGACUUUU
rnacentral:lncRNA from 1 species